AAGAUCCAAUGAUCUAUGAUAUCUUGGGUUUGUCUCUUGUCCCUCUUCUCUUCCAGCUGACUGCAAGUAUCGGUUUGGUAGCUGCAGAGAGUGUGAUCCAACCUCCGGUUCGUGGACCAGAUCUGUCUCCAAGCCUCGCCCUGGAACAACCAAAACACAAACCAAAGGCUGGGUGGGGCUGUUGGACAGAAGAGGACACGCUCACUCUCCUCCACACCUGAGGCUCAUUGGUAAUCGGCACCAGAUAACAUCUGCCUCCACCUGUGCUCCAGCGCCAGUGGAUUGUUCCUCCCUCGAGUGAGCCUCCCUGGUGGAUCAACGCCUUCUGCAGCCAAGUUCCAGCCUCAGCAGUUCUGCCUCCUGGUCCCUUUGGAAACCCUCCCUCCCUCAAUCAGCUGCCCUCACAUGCUUCCUGGUCGUGCAGGUGUGGCAGACCCCAGCUGAUUCCAUUUGGGUGCAGA